UACGUAGGGGGCAAGCGUUGUCCGGAUUUAUUGGGCGUAAAGAGCGUGUAGGCGGCCAGACAGGUCCGUUGUGAAAACUCGAGGCUCAACCUCGAGAUGUCGAUGGAAACCGUCUGGCUAGAGUCCGGAAGAGGAGUGUGGAAUUCCUGGUGUAGCGGUGAAAUGCGCAGAUAUCAGGAAGAACACCAACGGCGAAGGCAGCUCGCUGGGACGGAACUGACGCUGAGGCGCGAAAGCGUGGGGAGCGAACAGG
rnacentral:rRNA from 1 species